rnacentral:rRNA from 2 species
UGGGGAAUAUUGCACAAUGGGGGAAACCCUGAUGCAGCAACGCCGCGUGAAUGAUGAAGGCCUUCGGGUCGUAAAGUUCUUUGAUUGGGGACGAUAAUGACGGUACCCAAAAAACAAGCCACGGCUAACUACGUGCCAGCAGCCGCGGUAAUACGUAGGUGGCGAGCGUUGUCCGGAUUUACUGGGCGUAAAGGAUGCGUAGGUGGAAACUUAAGUGGGAUGUGAAAUCCCCGGGCUCAACCCGGGAACUGCAUUCCAAACUGGGUUACUUGAGUGCAGGAGAGGAAAGCGGAAUUCCUAGUGUAGCGGUGAAAUGCGUAGAUAUUAGGAAGAACACCAGUGGCGAAGGCGGCUUUCUGGACUGUAACUGACACUGAGGCAUGAAAGCGUGGGGAGCAAACAGG